rnacentral:tRNA from 1 species
UAUGGCAGACAAGUGCAAUGGAUUUAAAAUCCUACCAUAAAGAUCAAACCCCUUUUAUUAAAA